GGUGAGUAUCCUAUAGUAAGAGUAGUUAAGAGCCUUGUAGACCAUCCCCAUGGGGGCAGUAAAAGCAUGUGGAAGAGUUAUAAGGAGUAAGAGAAAAAAGCUAUAAUGAAGAGGAGUCAAAGCCAUAACUUGUCUUAAUCUUAAGGGAUAAGAGUUAUCACUUUAAAGUGAAAUUGUUAGUCUUAAAAUAGAUCCACAACUCGAGCUAAGGGAACCUGUGCACACAAGAAAAGUGCUAUGGCCAAGAACUAAAGGAGGCCAAUGACUGAAGAGCG
rnacentral:lncRNA from 1 species